ensembl:lncRNA
CUUUUCAUAACAGAGAGACAGGCCAUUUGCUGGCACCACCCUGUUUCCUCCAAGAAGACUGGACACUGAAGAAACUCCACCCACAAAGGUUGUAAUGCUAGCCACUGCCUUUCACAUCAACUGCUGCAAAGGACUCUUUGGACCAUGGACAAGAGAACAGUGGAAUUGACUUUCUCCAUGUAGCUUGGGCCAAGCUCCUACUCCACAGGUCCCAUGCUAUCAGCAGAAGAUCAAGCCAAAUGCAUCCUGGCCUGAUUAAAUAAAAGAAAAACUGAGUACUCCAAGCAGGACUCCAAGAGCUUGGCCCAGUGCUUGGCUGUGGAUCUCUGCAUCUGCUUCCACCAGUUACUGGAUGAAGGCUCUCUGAUGACAAUUAGUGUAAUCACCAAUCUGAUUACAGGAGAAGGCCAGUUCAUGGAUCUACUUUUGAAAUGGAGUUUGCUGUCGUGGUUGUGAGGUGCCAGGUUCUCAGAGGAGGGUGGCACCCACACUUGCCAAGUCUUGGAACUCCUUGCAUCGACUUAUAGAAGCUUGGCUAAACAACUCACAGGAACUUACCUUGGGAAAUUUGUCUGGAUUCUGGGAUGAAAGAAAUAUUCUACUGGAAUUUCUGUCUCCAGACAGCACCAGCCUGUGCUGCCAGCACCCUGUAGGGGUGGGUAAGGGGAGGCCAGAGUCUCAGAAAGGAGCAAGGUUAUGUAGCAGGGAAGAAAAAAAACCCCAAACCCAGCCAUGGAUGAAGCUUCACUAAUUAUUAGACAUAAUACCGUCCCUGUUUCCCUAUUUGAAUUCCUAGCCAUUCUCAACUAGGGGUCCUAAGUAAUGCAGUAUAUUUUAAAACAUGGAGUAAAAGAAAUGAAACUAGACAGAAAAAUGUGAAACUAGAAGUAAAAUGAACACAGGUUCUCAAACAUGCUAACCUUAACUUUCAGUACACUUGCUGGUGUGAAUCACAAAGCCAACCCAGAAGGAAUUUUGCUUUGUUUUGUCACGACACUUACCCAGAAGAUGGAAACUAACCAAGACACUCAGAAAUGUA